rnacentral:tRNA from 1 species
AUUAAGAUGUCUGAUUAAAAAGUAAUAAACUGUAAAUUUAUUUAUAAGUAACAAUGUUACUUUCUUGAUA